UACGUAGGUGGCAAGCGUUGUCCGGAAUUAUUGGGCGUAAAGCGCGCGCAGGCGGCUUUCUAAGUCCAUCUUAAAAGUGCGGGGCUUAACCUCGUGAUGGGAUGGAAACUGGGAAGCUGGAGUAUCGGAGAGGAAAGUGGAAUUCCUAGUGUAGCGGUGAAAUGCGUAGAGAUUAGGAAGAACACCGGUGGCGAAGGCGACUUUCUGGACGACAACUGACGCUGAGGCGCGAAAGCGUGGGGAGCAAACAGG
rnacentral:rRNA from 1 species